AUGGCGACCAGGGACAAAGAACAAAGCAUGCCUGCCUCGUGGGGCAUGGCCCUGCCCCCAGGCCACCCCUGGUGGAGCAUGGCAUCACACCCGGGCCACCCCUGGUGGGGCGUGGUUUCGCCCCAAGCCCUGCCUCCGGGGGGAGGCAUCCCGACCCCGGCACAGCCUCAGCAGGGCGUGUCGUCGACCAACAAGGAAAGCGCGGAUCCGCCCCAAAUCACCAUGGAAACUCCGGCCGGCUGCCAAGAGAGGGCGCGCCAUGAUGACAUCACACUAGGAGUGACAGGAGGAGAACCAGGAAGUGGAAGCAUCGGGGCUCCGAAUUCAAGUCCUGCCUCAAAGAUCAGCUUCGAUACUGCUGUAACCACAGCACAAGAAAACACUCAGGACAUCCAGGAAAAUAAUACAAAACAACUUAAUGUUACCAAAGAGCCGGAAACAGCUCCAGCUCCAUCUGAUCCUGCUGUGAUCUCCGAAGCCAAGGUAGUGACCACACUUUCAAAUUCACCUACAUCUCCAACUGAAAACUAUUUCAGUGGCUUAGCACAUGUCAGCGAUCAAAAGGAGGAUAUAUCUUCCACACUUGUUUGUGAAGAUAACAACAAGAAGAGACACCGCAACCUAGACAAGACCCCUGGAUUUACACAGCAAGAAAAGCUGGGAUGUAUAAAAUCUACAAAGAGCACAACAGCAGAUCCCAGGUCACCUGUCACAAAACUGAGUUUAUCUCCUACUGCAGAGUUAAAGGACAUUGAAAUAACAAAGUUGCUUGUUUACAAAAUAUCUUCCUGUUUAUAAAUUGUUUUGCUAAGUUGAAAUUUUGUACAGUUCUAAAGUUAAAUGUUUUAAGUUAUAAUCUUGUUGUUAAAAAGACCAAAUAAUUCCUAAACAUAAAUAUUGUAGCCUCAGGUAUGGAAAAUCCAUUGACAACCAAGAAAAUUAAAUUUGGCAAAAUUUGAAAUACGCUGUCAAUGUCAUCUUGCAUGCAAAAGGUUCCUUGCAGGUAAGAUAACAAAGAACAAGCUGCAUAUUUGCAUUUUCAAAAUUUUUUCAAAUUAAUAAAAAAGAAAUCGGGAAUUGUCACAGUAUAAGCUGUGGAAAAGGACACUGGUGGGACACAACCCAUCAGGAAAAAAGUCGAGAAAAGUUAGCGGGUUGGUCCGAUGGUCCCUGCCUGACUGCAAGAAACCAAAAUUGGUCAAAAGGGGGUUGGACAGCCAGACUUUGGGCCAAUAACAGGAGCUUAAAGAGAUACAUUUAGGAGGUGAUAAAAGGAACAGGGAAGAAGAAUAAACUCUCUUUUUUCGGUCGAAAGGAUCACGGUGUGCCUGUUGUCUCUCUCGGGGGGCUCUGGCACAAAACAACACAGACUCAGCAAAAGAGAUCAGGAGAGAUCCACACAGACAAUUCCACAGGGUUUAUUUCUUCCGUGAAGGGGGUUCAUGCAGCAGUCCAAAUACAUGGGAUACUACAGGGGUUCUUAUAGGGACCAAUAAGCUACAGACUUGAAAACUUAUCCAACUACAUAGAAGUUUUAGGUGUAAAAUAACCAAUUACAGAAAGGAUUCAAUUCUAGCCAAUUAUCACUUACAAAGAUAAUCAGGGGUAUAGCAUAUUUCUAGUAUUAGUCAUUCUAAGUAACGUUUUCUUAUCUAAAGGAUGAUUUUCCGGGGAGGUCCUGUUAUUGUGUUAGCUUCUUCCACAAUUCCUCUCUCUGUAUUUACUAAAAAGGCGCUUCCAACAUUUUUUAAGCACUGAACAAAGCAUGAAAACAUAGCUAACACAAUGACAAUUACAAUCAAAAUCCACAAAAUUCCCUUAACCAAUGAUGAAGUCCAUCCCAUCAAUCCCCAUUGACCAAAAAGGUCAUGGACCCAGUCAGGGUUGGUUUCCAUUUUCACGUUCUUCACGUGUUCGUACAGCUUCUGGAUGUUGGCGUGGAUGGAUGUGGAAUGUGAAGAGAGGUUGAAACAGCACAUCCCUUCAAAGUCCUGGCAACCAUGUCCAUGGGCAAGCAACAGGAAGUCAAUUGCAGCACUGUUUUGCAGAGAUGCAUGUCUUGUAGUUUCUUCAUCCUUCAAAAGAUCACUCAGGGCAGCAGAUGUAGCGUUGGCCUGCUUACUAAGCCAGUAGGCCAAAUGAUUGAUUUUGCCAAGGGCCUUUGCUGCUGCUACCCAUGGUCGGAACAGGGAGACAGCAACUCUUUUGGGUUUAUUCCAAUUGUACAAUUUAAAAUCAUAACUUUCAUAAAAUUCAGUGCAGGAUCUUUUUUCACAUUUUGAUUCGCUUUCUUUUUUCUAAUUAUGUAACAAGGUAAUGUUGGGGGUGAGGGUAAAAAGCCUGCCAAGGCUACAGGGUCCCCCCUGGAGAUGAGAGGGGAUUCCAGCUGAAACUCGAUCACCACAGAUAAGGAACAUUCCUCGGGCCAAUAUUUUGGGGUAGAGAGAGGACUCAGAGAGUGAAUGAACAGUGUGAUUACACCAAUCGGGAGAAUUACAAGCUGUGUUGAUGGGUGAAAUAUCUUUAAUAUAUGUGGUUUUUAUCAGAUCAAAUUUGGGCAAAUUUUGUUUUGGAUAUUUAAAGUAAAAUUUGACACAGAAUGUUGCCUUGCAGGACACCAGCAAGUCCAAUUCUUGGGGUUCUUUUGGAGCAUUUGGCAGCAUUUUUCUCCACUCCUCCCAAGUGUCUACUGGAUUGGGUCUCUUACCUGUAGUGCGGAGGAGCUCUGAGUUAUAAACGGGCCAGUGUCCUGGGGUGAUGUUAUGGUGCUUGUAUCCCCAAUCGUGUGUUCUGUUUAUGCCUGGUAUUAUGUUCUGUGCUUUCAGGACUAACUCUGAAAGUGAAGGUUUGUUUUGUCUGCUUAUCAGCUGGCUCCCCUCCGCCAUCGUCUGUGCUUAGGGGAGGCGAGGUUUGCAGGCUCAGGCUGGCUUUUGGAUUUUUGCUUCCUUGGCUUGCUGGCUUUGGCUUUGCUUACUUUUGCUUUUGCUUAUUAGUUAGUUUAGUUAGGCAGUCCAAUUUCUUUCCCUGGACUGUUUUUUUUUGUUCUUUCUUUCUUUCCCUUUCCUGAAUACCAUCUGAACCUGCUUCGGACUGGGACCUGGGAAACACCAAGGAACAUUGGGACUCUGCAAUUUGUGAUCUGCAGCAGUUAUCCCCAGCGCCAACGGAGAAACUUUUCAUCUUUGGACAAAGAUGGGGCUUCAGAUAGGGAAUACAAGCAAAAUUUGCUAUCUUUAUGUUGGAAGGGGAAGGAUUGGGCUUUCUCCUUCAUUCUUUUCCUUCAUUCCUUUCCCCCACCCUUUUUUUUUUUUACCUAACUCUAAGGAUAGUGGAGUGGGUAUAGGGUUGGGAUUUGUGGCACGGGUUAUAGGGAGGGAACACUGCGAUUUUUCAGCAGGGUUAACAACAUCUAAACAUCUGCUUUGUGGCCAGGCUAAGUCUGGCGUACAACUUGACUGAAAUAGCAGAAUGCUGCUUAGUUUUCUGUUUCAUCUGCUGUCGUGUGACAGGACGAUCUUUUUUGACGUGUGGAUGCUCGGCGAUGCCUGCGUCUCCAAGCAGAACUGAUCUGGUUUUGAGGAGGUUUUGUAUCGGACUCAGGAGAACUUUUGUUGGUAUUUGUAGGGGUAAUUUUUACAGUGCCUAGGUAUGGUUUUAUGUUUUUCCUUGGGAACCAUCUUGGACCAGAUGGUAGGGGCACACAGGUAUAUCCCCAUCCCCAGGUAAUUACAGUAAUUUCACCAUGAUAAGCCGCACCAUUUAGACUAAAAUUUUUGUCCCAACCCGGAAGUGCGGCUUACACUCAGAAGCGGCCAAUAUAUGAACAAAGUUCGGAAAUUUCCCAACCCGGAAGUGCAAGCCGUGGGCCUAGCUGAGCUCGCGAAUUGAGCACCGGCCAGUAAAACCCGUGAUCGCG
ensembl:lncRNA